rnacentral:rRNA from 1 species
AAUAGAUACCCGGGUAGUCCACCCCGUAAACGUUGGGAACUAGUUGUGGGUCCAUUCCACGGAUUCCGUGACGCAGCUAACGCAUUAAGUUCCCCGCCUGGGGAGUACGGCCGCAAGGCUAAAACUCAAAGGAAUUGACGGGGACCCGCACAAGCGGCGGAGCAUGCGGAUUAAUUCGAUGCAACGCGAAGAACCUUACCAAGGCUUGACAUAUACGAGAACGGGCCAGAAAUGGUCAACUCUUUGGACACUCGUAUACAGGUGGUGCAUGGUUGUCGUCAGCUCGUGUCGUGAGAUGUUGGGUUAAGUCCCGCAACGAGCGCAACCCUCGUUCUAUGUUGCCAGCACGUUAUGGUGGGAACUCAUGGGAUACUGCCGGGGUCAACUCGGAGGAAGGUGGGGAUGACGUCAAAUCAUCAUGCCCCUUAUGUCUUGGGCUUCACGCAUGCUACAAUGGCCGGUACAAAGGGCUGCGAUGCCGUAAGGUGGAGCGAAUCCCAAAAAGCCGGUCCCAGUUCGGAUUGAGGUCUGCAACUCGA